rnacentral:rRNA from 1 species
GACGAACGCUGGCGGCGUGCCUAAUACAUGCAAGUAGAACGCUGAAGGAGGAGCUUGCUUCUCUGGAUGAGUUGCGAACGGGUGAGUAACGCGUAGGUAACCUGCCUGGUAGCGGGGGAUAACUAUUGGAAACGAUAGCUAAUACCGCAUAAGAGUAGAUGUCGCAUGACAUUUGCUUAAAAGGUGCAAUUGCAUCACUACCAGAUGGACCUGCGUUGCAUUAGCUGGUUGGUGAGGUAACGGCUCACCAAGGCAACGAUACAUAGCCGACCUGAGAGGGUGGUCAGCCGCACUGGGACUGAGACAGGGCCCAGACGGCCUCGGAAGGGAGCAGUAGGGAAUCUUGGGGAAUGGACGGAAGUCUGACCGAGCUACGCCGCGGGAGUGUGGAGGGUUGUCGGAUCGUAAAGCUCUGUUGUAAGAGAAGAACGAGUGUGAGAGUGGAAAGAUCACACUGUGACGGUAUCUUACCAGAAAGGGACGGCUAACUACGUG